UACGUAGGGUGCGAGCGUUGUCCGGAAUUACUGGGCGUAAAGAGCUCGUAGGCGGUCUGUCGCGUCGGUCGUGAAAACUUGGGGCUUAACCCUGAGCUUGCGGUCGAUACGGGCAUGACUGGAGUUCGGCAGGGGAGACUGGAAUUCCUGGUGUAGCGGUGAAAUGCGCAGAUAUCAGGAGGAACACCGGUGGCGAAGGCGGGUCUCUGGGCCGAUACUGACGCUGAGGAGCGAAAGCGUGGGGAGCAAACAGG
rnacentral:rRNA from 1 species